rnacentral:rRNA from 1 species
AUUGAACGCUGGCGGCAGGCCUAACACAUGCAAAUCGAACGGUAACAGGAAGCAGCUUGCUGCUUCGCUGACGAGUGGCGGACGGGUGAGUAAUGUCUGGGAAGCUGCCUGAUGGAGGGGGAUAACUACUGGAAACGGUAGCUAAUACCGCAUAAUGUCGCAAGACCAAAGAGGGGGACCUUCGGGCCUCUUGCCAUCGGAUGUGCCCAGAUGGGAUUAGCUUGUUGGUGGGGUAACGGCUCACCAAGGCGACGAUCCCUAGCUGGUCUGAGAGGAUGACCAGCCACACUGGAACUGAGACACGGUCCAGACUCCUACGGGAGGCAGCAGUGGGGAAUAUUGCACAAAGGGCGCAAGCCUGAUGCAGCCAUGCCGCGUGUAUGAAGAAGGCCUUCGGGUUGUAAAGUACUUUCAGCGGGGAGGAAGGGAGUAAAGUUAAUACCUUUGCUCAUUGACGUUACCCGCAGAAGAAGCACCGGCUAACUCCGUG